GGAUUAGUGCGCCGGUCGUGCCUUCGGUAUGUACUGGUGUUACUGGUUCCUACCUUCUGACGAACCGUCAUGUCAUUAAUUUGGUGUGGCGGGGAAUCAGGACUGUUACUUUGAAAAAAUUAGAGUGUUCAAAGCAGGCCUUUGCCCGAAUACAUUAGCAUGGCAUAAUAAAAUAGGACG
rnacentral:rRNA from 1 species